rnacentral:lncRNA from 1 species
GAAGGCAUGUAGACUGGGUGCUCCUUGUCUUUUUGUUUCAUGCAUAAUGCAUUCCAGCUUAGUUUGCCUAAUGUAGAUGGAAAGAUGGGGAACUUUAUCAAUGUGAUAAUAACAUGGUUUUGAAUUUUUAUUCACUUCUGUUUUGACAUUUAGAAGCAGUCUGCUUAAUUUAUUCUAGUUUAGAUAUACCUAAAUUGCAGUAAAGCAUGCAUCUGUUGACAUGAGCACCUGAAUGUGCACCGCAUUUAGACAAAUAAACAGUUCUCUUUUUUCUUUUUUCUUGUAUUCUUUUCUUUUCUUUUGGCCAAUAAACAAAGAAGUUUUACAAUAGCCUGAACAAAGAAUCCAAACAUUGAGGUCAUUGCCAACCGCCCAUUCUUGAUUUCCUUCACCUUCAGUUCAGCAAAGGCUUCAGGUUUAA